AGUGAACGCUGGCGGUAGGCCUAACACAUGCAAGUCGAACGGCAACACAGUAAGAGCUUGCUCUUACGGGUGGCGAGUGGCGGACGGGUGAGGAAUACAUCGGAAUCUACUUUUUCGUGGGGGAUAACGUAGGGAAACUUACGCUAAUACCGCAUACGACCUACGGGUGAAAGCAGGGGAUCUUCGGACCUUGCGCGAUUGAAUGAGCCGAUGUCGGAUUAGCUAGUUGGCGGGGUAAAGGCCCCCCAAGGCGACGAUCCGUAGCUGGUCUGAGAGGAUGAUCAGCCACACUGGAACUGAGACACGGUCCAGACUCCUACGGGAGGCAGCAGUGGGGAAUAUUGGACAAUGGGCGCAAGCCUGAUCCAGCCAUACCGCGUGGGUGAAGAAGGCCUUCGGGUUGUAAAGCCCUUUUGUUGGGAAAGAAAAGCAGCAGGUUAAUACCCCGCUGUUCUGACGGUACCCAAAGAAUAAGCACCGGCUAACUUCGUG
rnacentral:rRNA from 1 species